rnacentral:rRNA from 1 species
AGUGAACGCUGGCGGUAGGCCUAACACAUGCAAGUCGAACGGCAGCACAGUAAGCGCUUGCUCUUACGGUUGGCGAGUGGCGGACGGGUGAGGCAUACAUCGGAAUCUACUUUUUCGUGGGUGAUAACGUAGGGAAACUUACGCUAAUACCGCAUACGACCUACGGGUUAAAUCAGUGGAUCUUCGGACCUUGCGCGAUUGAAUGAGCCGAUGUCGGAUUAGCUAGUUGGCGGGGUAAAGGCCCACCAAGGCGACGAUCCGUAGCUGGUCUGAGAGGAUGAUCAGCCACACUGGAACUGAGACACGGUCCAGACUCCUACGGGAGGCAGCAGUGGGGAAUAUUGGGCAAUGGGCGCAAGCCUGAUCCAGCCAUACCGCGUGGGUGAAGAAGGCCUUCGGGUUGUAAAGCCCUUUUGUUGGGAAAGAAAAGCAGCAGGUUAAUACCCCGCUGUUCUGACGGUACCCAAAGAAUAAGCACCGGCUAACUUCGUG